GACGAACGCUGGCGGCGCGCCUAACACAUGCAAGUCGAACGAGCGAGAGAGAGCUUGCUUUCUCAAGCGAGUGGCGAACGGGUGAGUAACGCGUGAGGAACCUGCCUCAAAGAGGGGGACAACAGUUGGAAACGACUGCUAAUACCGCAUAAGCCCACGACCCGGCAUCGGGUAGAGGGAAAAGGAGCAAUCCGCUUUGAGAUGGCCUCGCGUCCGAUUAGCUAGUUGGUGAGGUAACGGCCCACCAAGGCGACGAUCGGUAGCCGGACUGAGAGGUUGAACGGCCACAUUGGGACUGAGACACGGCCCAGACUCCUACGGGAGGCAGCAGUGGGGAAUAUUGCACAAUGGAGGAAACCCUGAUGCAGCGACGCCGCGUGGAGGAAGAAGGUCUUCGGAUUGUAAACUCCUGUUGUUGAGGAAGAUAAUGACGGUACUCAACAAGGAAGUGACGGCUAACUACGUG
rnacentral:rRNA from 1 species